rnacentral:rRNA from 1 species
CACUCCUGCGGGAGGCAGCAGUAGGGAAUCUUCGGCAAUGGGGGCAACCCUGACCGAGCAACGCCGCGUGAGUGAAGAAGGUUUUCGGAUCGUAAAGCUCUGUUGUAAGUCAAGAACGAGUGUGAGAGUGGAAAGUUCACACUGUGACGGUAGCUUACCAGAAAGGGACGGCUAACUACGUGCCAGCAGCCGCGGUAAUACGUAGGUCCCGAGCGUUGUCCGGAUUUAUUGGGCGUAAAGCGAGCGCAGGCGGUUUGAUAAGUCUGAAGUUAAAGGCUGUGGCUCAACCAUAGUUCGCUUUGGAAACUGUCAAACUUGAGUGCAGAAGGGGAGAGUGGAAUUCCAUGUGUAGCGGUGAAAUGCGUAGAUAUAUGGAGGAACACCGGUGGCGAAAGCGGCUCUCUGGUCUGUAACUGACGCUGAGGCUCGAAAGCGUGGGGAGCGAACAGGAUUAGAUACCCCGGUAGUCCCAUGAU